UACGUAGGGGGCAAGCGUUGUCCGGAUUUAUUGGGUUUAAAGGGUGCGUAGGCGGCCUAUUAAGUCAGUUCUGGAAUAUCCCGGCUUAACCGGGAGGGUGGGAUUGAUACUGAUGGGCUUGAGUGGAGUCGAGGUAGGCGGAAUUGACGGUGUAGCGGUGAAAUGCUUAGAUAUCGUCAAGAACACCGAUAGUGUAGACAGCUUACUAGACUUCAACUGACGCUGAGGCACGAAAGUGUGGGGAUCAAACAGG
rnacentral:rRNA from 1 species